rnacentral:lncRNA from 1 species
GUCGACUUCACGCAGCCAAACUGUCCCUCACAAAACCUGAGUUACAGUCGUGGGAAAUAUUAAGGCAGAAGGACGCGGCACCGGUUCCUCACAGUCUGAAUGGGAUCCUGAGCGAAUCCUGGGUUUGAGGGCACAGGUCAAGGAUCAAGCACCACCUGCUCUUGACCUGGGUGAGAGGACCCUCCUGGUGUUUCCUCUACUGAGUGCUCUGGCUCAAUGGGGCUGUGUUUUGCCCUCCCAUUGGCUGCACUGGCCAGCUGCCUGCUUCCUGCGGACUGUUGUGUAAUAUGUGACCAGGCAG